rnacentral:rRNA from 1 species
GACCUAGCGGCGGACGGGUGAGUAAUGCUUAGGAAUCUGCCUAUUAGUGGGGGACAACAUCUCGAAAGGGAUGCUAAUACCGCAUACGUCCUACGGGAGAAAGCAGGGGAUCUUCGGACCUUGCGCUAAUAGAUGAGCCUAAGUCGGAUUAGCUAGUUGGUGGGGUAAAGGCCUACCAAGGCGACGAUCUGUAGCGGGUCUGAGAGGAUGAUCCGCCACACUGGGACUGAGACACGGCCCAGACUCCUACGGGAGGCAGCAGUGGGGAAUAUUGGACAAUGGGCGCAAGCCUGAUCCAGCCAUGCCGCGUGUGUGAAGAAGGCCUUAUGGUUGUAAAGCACUUUAAGCGAGGAGGAGGCUACUUUAGAUAAUACCUAGAGAUAGUGGACGUUACUCGCAGAAUAAGCACCGGCUAACUCUGUGCCAGCAGCCGCGGUAAUACAGAGGGUGCAAGCGUUAAUCGGAUUUACUGGGCGUAAAGCGCGCGUAGGCGGCUAAUUAAGUCAAAUGUGAAAUCCCCGAGCUUAACUUGGGAAUUGCAUUCGAUACUGGUUAGCUAGAGUGUGGGAGAGGAUGGUAGAAUUCCAGGUGUAGCGGUGAAAUGCGUAGAGAUCUGGAGGAAUACCGAUGGCGAAGGCAGCCAUCUGGCCUAACACUGACGCUGAGGUGCGAAAGCAUGGGGAGCAAACAGGAUUAGAUACCCUGGUAGUCCAUGCCGUAAACGAUGUCUACUAGCCGUUGGGGCCUUUGAGGCUUUAGUGGCGCAGCUAACGCGAUAAGUAGACCGCCUGGGGAGUACGGUCGCAAGACUAAAACUCAAAUGAAUUGACGGGGGCCCGCACAAGCGGUGGAGCAUGUGGUUUAAUUCGAUGCAACGCGAAGAACCUUACCUGGCCUUGACAUAGUAAGAACUUUCCAGAGAUGGAUUGGUGCCUUCGGGAACUUACAUACAGGUGCUGCAUGGCUGUCGUCAGCUCGUGUCGUGAGAUGUUGGGUUAAGUCCCGCAACGAGCGCAACCCUUUUCCUUAUUUGCCAGCGAGUAAUGUCGGGAACUUUAAGGAUACUGCCAGUGACAAACUGGAGGAAGGCGGGGACGACGUCAAGUCAUCAUGGCCCUUACGGCCAGGGCUACACACGUGCUACAAUGGUCGGUACAAAGGUUGCUACACAGCGAUGUGAUGCUAAUCUCAAAAAGCCGAUCGUAGUCCGGAUUGGAGUCUGCAACUUGACUCCAUGAAGU